rnacentral:lncRNA from 1 species
CGACGAGUACGACCCCACACCCUAUGGCGGCGGUUACGACCUCGCCCUCACCUUCGGCCGCCCCCUCCCUCCCUCCGACGAGAUAUGCCACCCCCUCUCCUCCGCCGGUGGCGACGACGUCGACUACAACCGCCCCCACUACACCUCCGGAUCCACUACCUCCGCCUACGGGACCGAGGCCGACUUGGGCGACCGCUACGGCCGCCCCCGCCCCAAGCCCCAGCCUGCCUACGGCUUCCAGCCCCCGCAGGAGGAAGAG